rnacentral:rRNA from 1 species
GACGAACGCUGGCGGCGUGCCUAAUACAUGCAAGUCGAACGCAGUGGGGACGGGUGCGUAAAACGUGGGUAACCUCCCAUCAGAGGGGAUAACCCUUGGAAACAGGUGCUAAACCGAUACGGGUGGAUGGACCCGCGGUGCAUUAGCUAGUUGGUGAGGUAACGGCUCACCAAGGCCACGAUGCAUAGCUGGCCUGAGAGGAUGAUCGGCCAAACUGGAACUGAGACACGGUCCAGACUCCUACGGGAGGCAGCAGUAGGGAAUAUUCGGCAAUGGACGAAAGUCUGACCGAGCAACGCCGCGUGAGUGAAGAAGGUUUUCGGAUCGUAAAGCUCUGUUGUUAGAGAAGCGGUAUCUAACCAGAAAGCCACGGCUAACUACGUGCCAGCAGCCGCGGUAAUUC